GGAGUUUGGGCCGUGUCUCAGUCCCAAUGUGGCCGAUCACCCUCUCAGGUCGGCUACCGAUCGUCGACUUGGUGGGCCGUUACCUCACCAACUAUCUAAUCGGACGCGAGCUCACCCUCCACCGGAUUGCUCCUUUGACCCCUUCGGGAUGUCCCGUUGUGGUCUUAUGCGGUAUUAGUACAACUUUCGCUGUGUUAUCCCCCUCGUGAAGGACAGAUUGCUCACGCGUUACUCACCCGUCCGCCGCUAGAACAUACAUCUUCGCUUCCGUCCGAAAACUUCCACUCCGUCGCAUGUCCCCGCUCGACUUGCAUGUGUUAGGCACGCCGCCAGCGUUCGUCCUCGAGCCACUGAUCAAACUACU
rnacentral:rRNA from 1 species